CCAUUUUUUUUUUACAGCCUUUCCCCACUGACAUUUACAGUUAUGCCUGAGAUGAGUAAAUGAUACGAAGGCAACUUUAGGUCUCAUCUGCGUGGAAACAGCAAGGGGAAACCAGGGCUUAGUUCUCAGUCUCAGCAGAGCCUUUUUUCAGAAGCUCCCAUAAAUAUCCUUUUAAAAUGAAGGAAUAGCAAGCCUGUAGUCUGGGAAGUAAAUCCUGAGUCUCUCUCCAAGUGAUCCCGUGUUAGGAUCACUUAUAGUUCAGUUUUAUUUUUCUGUUAAUUCCUUGGCAGAUGAUUCUAACACAAAUCAAUAAAAUAAAAAAAUAAAUUAAACAUAUUAGAAGAUGGUUCUUCUCUGUAGAUGAAACAACCACCUCCAUCUUCUGUUUUGAAUAAAUUCAGAUUUCAACUGCA